GAGUUUGAUCGUGGCUCAGAUUGAACGCUGGCGGCAUGCCUUACACAUGCAAGUCGAACGGUAACAGGUCUUCGGAUGCUGACGAGUGGCGAACGGGUGAGUAAUACAUCGGAACGUGCCCAGACGUGGGGGAUAACGAGGCGAAAGCUUUGCUAAUACCGCAUACGAUCUAAGGAUGAAAGCAGGGGACCGCAAGGCCUUGCGCGUUUGGAGCGGCCGAUGGCAGAUUAGGUAGUUGGUGGGAUAAAAGCUUACCAAGCCGACGAUCUGUAGCUGGUCUGAGAGGACGACCAGCCACACUGGGACUGAGACACGGCCCAGACUCCUACGGGAGGCAGCAGUGGGGAAUUUUGGACAAUGGGCGAAAGCCUGAUCCAGCAAUGCCGCGUGCAGGAUGAAGGCCUUC
rnacentral:rRNA from 1 species